GAGGAAUAUUGGGCAAUGCCCGCAAGGGUGACCCAGCAACGCCGCGUGGAGGAUGAAGGUCGUAAGAUCGUAAACUCCUGUUAGAGGGGAAGAACAGUACCGAUUGGAUCGGUGUUUGACUGUACCCUCAGAGAAAGCCCCGGCUAACUACGUGCCAGCAGCCGCGGUAAUACGUAGGGGGCAAGCGUUGUCCGGAUUUACUGGGUGUAAAGGGCGCGCAGGCGGGAUAGCAAGUCAGAGGUGAAAUCCUACAGCUUAACUGUAGAACUGCCUUUGAUACUGUUAUUCUUGAGUUCGGGAGAGAGAGACGGAAUUCCAGGUGUAGUGGUGAAAUACGUAGAUAUCUGGAAGAACACCAGUUGCGAAGGCGGUCUCUUGGUCCGAUACUGACGCUGAGGCGCGAAAGCGUGGGGAGCAAAC
rnacentral:rRNA from 1 species